rnacentral:rRNA from 1 species
UAGCUGAGGAAAAGGAAACCAACAGGGAUUGCCUCAGUAACGGCGAGUGAAGCGGCAAAAGCUCAAAUUUGAAAUCUAGCACCUUCGGUGUUCGAGUUGUAAUUUGAAGAUGGUAACCUUGGGUUUGGCUCUUGUCUAUGUUCCUUGGAACAGGACGUCAUAGAGGGUGAGAAUCCCGUCUGAUGAGAUGCCCAUUCCUAUGUAAGGUGCUAUCGAAGAGUCGAGUUGUUUGGGAAUGCAGCUCUAAGUGGGUGGUAAAUUCCAUCUAAAGCUAAAUAUUGGCGAGAGACCGAUAGCGAACAAGUACAGUGAUGGAAAGAUGAAAAGAACUUUGAAAAGAGAGUGAAAAAGUACGUGAAAUUGUUGAAAGGGAAGGGCAUUAGAUCAGACUUGGUGUUUUACGAUUAUCUUCUCUUCUUGAGUUGUGCACUCGUAUUUCACUGGGCCAGCAUCGAUUCGGAUGGCAAGAUAAUGGCAGUUGAAUGUGGCUUCACUUCGGUGGAGUGUUAUAGCUUCUGCUGAUAUUGCCUGUCUGGAUCGAGGGCUGCGUC